rnacentral:rRNA from 2 species
AGCAACGCCGCGUGAGCGAUGAAGGCCUUCGGGUCGUAAAGCUCUGUUGUCAGGGAAGAACAAGUACCGGAGUAACUGCCGGUACCUUGACGGUACCUGACCAGAAAGCCACGGCUAACUACGUGCCAGCAGCCGCGGUAAUACGUAGGUGGCAAGCGUUGUCCGGAAUUAUUGGGCGUAAAGCGCGCGCAGGCGGUUCCUUAAGUCUGAUGUGAAAGCCCCCGGCUCAACCGGGGAGGGUCAUUGGAAACUGGGGAACUUGAGUGCAGAAGAGGAGAGCGGAAUUCCACGUGUAGCGGUGAAAUGCGUAGAGAUGUGGAGGAACACCAGUGGCGAAGGCGGCUCUCUGGUCUGUAACUGACGCUGAGGCGCGAAAGCGUGGGGAGCGAACAGGAUUAGAUACCCUGGUAGUCCACGCCGUAAACGAUGAGUGCUAAGUGUUAGAGGGUUUCCGCCCUUUAGUGCUGCAGCAAACGCAUUAAGCACUCCGCCUGGGGAGUACGGCCGCAAGGCUGAAACUCAAAGGAAUUGACGGGGGCCCGCACAAGCGGUGGAGCAUGUGGUUUAAUUCGAAGCAACGCGAAGAACCUUACCAGGUCUUGACAUCCUCUGACAACCCUAGAGAUAGGGCGUUUCCCUUCGGGGAACAGAGUGACAGGUGGUGCAUGGUUGUCGUCAGCUCGUGUCGUGAGAUGUUGGGUUAAGUCCCGCAACGAGCGCAACCCUUGAUCUUAGUUGCCAGCAUUAAGUUGGGCACUCUAAGGUGACUGCCGGUGACAAACCGGAGGAAGGUGGGG